CGCAGCGAUGGGCGCAGCCUGACGCAGCCACGCCGCGUGAGUGGAUGAAGGCCUUAGGGUUGUAAAGCUCUUUCGGCCGGGACGAUUAUGACGGUACCUGGAGAAGAAGCCCCGGCUAACUUCGUGCCAGCAGCCGCGGUAAUUAUAUAA
rnacentral:rRNA from 1 species